UCUGAUUCUUUCUAAAAACACUGGACAGGAUGUAAAUUAACUAUAAACAGUUCAUAAAUUAUUUAUGUCUAGAAAUCCUGUUUCAGCAACUUCUCAAUAGCCAAGGUAUGCAAACACUUUCAAUGAUGAGUCAGCACGGCUUCACUAUUUAUCUCAGAAAAUUCUUGCCCAGGAAAAUGAGACUUUUAACCGAUAAAUAAUGUGAUUGCUUGUGUAAGGAAAUUCCUGCCCGUACGUUUGUCCAGGCAGUUUGCUGAAAUGGAGAAGCAGUUCUUCUCCUGAGACAGCAGAGGGCUCAGCUGGGCAAACCCCUCGCUGGCCACAUGGCAGCUUAGUUUCCUAGAUUCACGUCAAGACCCAUGCUUGUUGCACCCACCGGCCCAAAGUACAUGAUGCUGUAAACUCUGUCCAAUUCACAAGUGGUUCUGUGCCUUGAAAGACCCGCCUUUAACCCCCAGCAACAAACUCCUACAAAUCACCUCUGGUGACCUCCCCUCUGGGCCAUGAUAAGACUGUCAAAGCGGAGUUCCCUUUCACUGCAGCGGGUCCAGCAAACUCGGCUUUGCUUGAUCCGUAGAUGUUCCAGUGAUCUUCUGGGGAGUCAACGGUCAACUCCUCUACCAGGCUGUAAGUCAACGACUAACUGUAUUACACGUGGGGCACUCUGAUACUUCUGUUCUGAUCCAUUGUAUUCUAUUUCAUUCUUUUUUAAAUGUAGCUGCCAAUCCCUGAAUGAAUUUGACCAGCAAUGAACCCCAAGCCCCAGGCUGGAAAACACUCUCAGAGAAUCCAGGAUGUACAAAUAAGAAGAAAAUGUGUUCAGAGACUCCUGGUAACCAGAGGAGAAAUGGUGUGGAUUCCCAGGAAGGCCACGUGAAGACAUGAGACAUGCAGAGGCGAACACCACGUGAUGAUGGAGAAAGUGACUGGAGUUAUGCUGCAACUGGCCCAGGAACCCCAGAACCACCCGAAACUGAAAGAGACAAGGUGAGAUUCUUCCUUAGAGCCUGGGGGUGGGGGGAGGGUGGCCCUGCCAACGUCUUGAUUUCA